UACGGGGGGAGCAAGCGUUGUUCGGAUUUACUGGGCGUAAAGGGCGCGUAGGCGGUCAGCACAAGUCAGUUGUGAAAUCUCCGGGCUUAACCCGGAAAGGUCAACUGAUACUGUGCGACUAGAGUGCGGAAGGGGCAACUGGAAUUCCUGGUGUAGCGGUGAAAUGCGCAGAUAUCAGGAGGAACACCGGUGGCGAAGGCGGGUCUCUGGGCCGUAACUGACGCUGAGGAGCGAAAGCAUGGGGAGCGAACAGG
rnacentral:rRNA from 1 species